AAAAAAAUUUAAAAAACUUCCAAAAGUUAUGGAUAAAGCAAUGAGAUUGGAGUUCGAAACUCUCUGUCCUUUGGAAGCUUUGCCUCUAGGUGAUGGAUAAAUUUACAGUAUGGUUAUUCCGCUUAUCAGACAGUGUGUUGAUUUCAAAAUUGCAAAAUAUCAUGAGCGUAGACUUUUAGUGGGAGUAUUUGAUUUCGCUGUGCAUACAUGACGCGUAUCGAUCUGUCUCCGUGCUCCGUAGUUAUUAUCUGCAGUCAGUUGCUACUUUUGUGUGCCCACCAGCUGUUCGACAAAAAUGCCAACUAAUCAAGUUUUUGCUUUGGAAGCCCAGGCGCAUCCCCGAGGAGUGAGAAUACACACGACUACUUGGAGACAGAAGUGUGCGCGUGACAUGAGUGUGCGUUAUGAUUAGCGCGUGGUUGAGGUGGUGUCGUGUUGGACCCUUCCUUAGACCUCUUCUUCAUAAGGUAUGUAUACCGACUUCAUAAUAUUUAAUAACAGAGAUAAUAAGUUCAAUGUGAACAAAAUAAUAUCUAAUUUUAUAGUGACCUUAUUAUUAUUAUAUUAGUAGGAUGACGACGGGUAUGACAUGUUUAUCCAUUAUUCA